CUGAUCUGCCUACCAUGCAGUCGAGCGGUAGCACGGGGAGCUUGCUCCUGGGUGACGAGCGGCGGACGGGUGAGUAAUGUCUGGGGAUCUGCCUGAUGGAGGGGGAUAACUACUGGAAACGGUAGCUAAUACCGCAUAACGUCGCAAGACCAAAGAGGGGGACCUUCGGGCCUCUUGCCAUCAGAUGAACCCAGAUGGGAUUAGCUAGUAGGUGGGGUAAUGGCUCACCUAGGCGACGAUCCCUAGCUGGUCUGAGAGGAUGACCAGCCACACUGGAACUGAGACACGGUCCAGACUCCUACGGGAGGCAGCAGUGGGGAAUAUUGCACAAUGGGCGCAAGCCUGAUGCAGCCAUGCCGCGUGUAUGAAGAAGGCCUUCGGGUUGUAAAGUACUUUCAGCGAGGAGGAAGGCAUUAAGGUUAAUAACCUUGGUGAUUGACGUUACUCGCAGAAGAAGCACCGGCUAACUCCGUGCCAGCAGCCGCGGUAAUACGGAGGGUGCAAGCGUUAAUCGGAAUUACUGGGCGUAAAGCGCACGCAGGCGGUUUGUUAAGUCGGAUGUGAAAUCCCCGGGCUCAACCUGGGAACUGCAUUCGAAACUGGCAAGCUUGAGUCUUGUAGAGGGGGGUAGAAUUCCAGGUGUAGCGGUGAAAUGCGUAGAGAUCUGGAGGAAUACCGGUGGCGAAGGCGGCCCCCUGGACAAAGACUGACGCUCAGGUGCGAAAGCGUGGGGAGCAAACAGGAUUAGAUACCCUGGUAGUCCACGCCGUAAACGAUGUCGACUUGGAGGUUGUGCCCUUGAGGCGUGGCUUCCGGAGCUAACGCGUUAAGUCGACCGCCUGGGGAGUACGGCCGCAAGGUUAAAACUCAAAUGAAUUGACGGGGGCCCGCACAAGCGGUGGAGCAUGUGGUUUAAUUUGAUGCAACGCGAAG
rnacentral:rRNA from 1 species